GACUUCGUAGCGUAUGGUAUGCGUCCGCUGCCUUUAGUGGUGACCAAAUGAGUUCAGCGGAAGAGCCCGGUUCGAAUCCGGGCGGGGUCU